GUUUAUGCCUUGGCCUGCUGGCCCUGGAGAUCCCAUCGUCGGCUUCGUCGAACUCAAAGUCGUCGCCCUACCCUGGCCCGUCGCGUCUUCCUGUGCCAUUUCCUGUUGUGCUCAGGUUCCACGAGCUGCCCAUCUCCAGAGAAGAGCAGCUGGCAUUGCCCACCGGCCGUGCUGGCUGAAGAAGAGAGGACAUGAGGACCCCAGGAUGCCCAGCGUGAGGACCCCAGGACACCCAGCGCGAGGACCCCAGGACGCCCAGCUCGAGGACCCCAGGACGCCCAGCGCGAGGACCCCAGGACGCCCAGCGCGAGGACCCCAGGACGCCCAGCGCGAGGACCCCAGGACGCCCAGCGCGAGGACUCCACAUCCUUACGUUGCAACCCUCCUGGAAUAGGCCAACAUCGUCAUCACCUGGAAUCCUGCGUGGGACCCUGGACACAUGGACACAGAGCCUGCCCAUAGGACCUUCCAACUGUAAAUC
rnacentral:lncRNA from 14 species